rnacentral:lncRNA from 1 species
UAGAUCAUCAUAUGAUACUGAACUAGCUUCCCUUAUUGUGAUUUGUCCAUAUGUAGUUGGACUCUUAUUGGUAAAUUCUGCGCUCAGACCUUUCCUCAUUUUGCAUUUUUACAGUGAAACAACAAAGAAGGUUUUGAUUGCAUCCACCCACCCGAAUUUGAGGUGUAGCAAUUUUGGAAAAUAUUUUUCAUCACUACCUACCGGGAGCCCGCGCAUAUUAUUAUCUGGUCCAGCAGGUACUUCUGCCAUUUUAAUUUUGUGGUUUAUGAUGCUUGUAAUUCUGUGGUUGAUGAUGCUUGUAAAUUCUGAAAUUCUGAAAUUCUGAAAUUUUAUAUUUUCUUUUUCUUUCCUUGUUAAUUCAUUAAGUUUUUAUUUUAAUAAUUCUUUUGUAGGUUCUGAGAUAUAUCAGGAAACCUUGGCAAAGGCACUCGCGAAACAUUUUGGUGCUAGAUUACUAAUUGUAGAUUCUCUUCUCCUGCCUGGUGUAUGUUCUUUCAUGUCCCUUUUUUAACUGGAAUCUUCUUUGCUUACAAGCAUAUCUUCUCCUUCUGUUCUUGUUGAUCUACUUUUUUCUAGCAGUUUUCUUCGUCAUUUCAGGAAUUCAAGUUUAGAAUUGUGGAUUUUUCUUUUAAAUAUUUCUUGAAAUAUACUUCUUAAUAGGUUGAGGCACCACCGCCCAAGGAUUCUGAUUCUGUUAAAGAAGUACCAAGGCUUGAAAGAGUUUCCACAUUUACGAAACGAGCAGCUCAUGCUGCUGGAUUCAAGCACAAGAAACCGACCUCUAGUGUUGAGGCUGAAAUUACUGGCGGAUCCACUGUGAGUUCUCAGGCACUGCCAAAGCAGGAGACUUCUACUGCAUCAUCCAGAGUCAAUACUUUUAAACAAGGCAUGAUAUUGUUUCUUAGAAUGUCGAACAUACAGUGGAUUUCUUAUUGGUUUAUUGAUCUAGAAUUGUAACUUAACACUAUCUGUCUUUGAGGUGCUAACCCUUAUCCAUCUAUGCAGGUGACAGGGUCAAAUUUGUGGGUGCCAUAUCUUCUGGUACUCAACCGCUGCAGAGUUGUCCUCUUCUAAGGUAUUCGAUUUGUAUGAUGGUAUAAAAUGUACAUUUCUGAGUAAAUUUGAUAUUCAUAAGUGGCAUUUGUAUAUGCCAGAAUCUGAAUUAAGCAGACGGUUUGGUGCCUCAAUGUUUGACAUGGCAUCUUAAGUUGAUAGAAAUGAUGCUGGUGGACCAAACAGUUAAAAAUAUUCUUCCUUGGCAAGUAAUUACGAGCUGCCAAAGGCACUGGAUGUGUGAUAAGUUGGUACAUAUGAAAUUGAGUCAGCUCCCAUGCCAGUUUGUGGCAAGUUUUUGUAGCAGUCCUUGUUCUAAUAGUCCUUUAACAGUUGGUUUACUUGUAUUUAUAAAAGUGUGUCUUCCACAAAACUCCUUGCACUUCAGAAUUUAAAUUUGUUGGAUGAACGGUUUCUUUCUUUUAUUUGGAAAUUUUUACAAAUUCCUUUAAUAUGAUUGCCACUAUAUAAACUUUUUAUGUGAGUUUGAAAAGGAAGAGGAAAAAAUUGUGCAUGGGAAAACAACAGUUACCAUAAUCAUGCUAUAUGAAUCUCAUGGACCAUUGAUCGAAAGUGAUUUUGGUUCUAAAUUUUGCAGGGGACCAUCAUAUGGUUGUCGAGGCAAAGUAGUUCUUGCUUUUGAAGAAAAUGGGGCCUCAAAAAUUGGUGUUAGAUUUGAUAAAUCAAUACCAGAUGGCAAUGAUCUUGGUGGUCUUUGUGAAGAAGAUCAUGGCUUCUUUUGUUCUGGUAAUUUCUGAUAUCAUGUUUUCUUCCCCAUUAGUGCAUGAUUUUGCUCUAUUUUACUUUUUGUAUUCCUGUUAAUAAUUAAUUUUUACUAUGCAGCUAGUCAUUUACUUCCCUUGGAUGUUUCUGGAGGUGAUGAUAUUGACAAGCUUGCAAUCGGUGAACUUCUUGAGGUACUCAUCUCCUUUACACUAACAAGAGCUCCCUUUACUGUACCAAUAUAGUUGCGAUAAAUUUGGUAUUAAUAUCUGCACCAAUGUUGUGCAGGUGGCAACCAAUGAGAGUAAAAGUCUUCCUUUGAUAGUGUUUUUGAAAGAUAUAGAAAAGGUUAUGGCGGGUAACCCAGAUGCAUAUAGUGUCUUGAAGAGUAAGCUUUCAAACUUGCCAGAGAAUGUUGUUGUGAUUGGCUCUCAUACCCAGUUGGACAAUCGCAAGGAGAAGGUAAGAGGCUGAGGAUUUUCAUUUGGCUGAUUUUGAACUCACUGUUGUAGUUUGACACUAACACACUAUUUUUAUGUUUUGCAGUCCCAUCCUGGUAGCCUUUUGUUAACAAAGUUCGGCUUAAACCAAACAGCUUUGCUUGAUCUUGCUUUUCCGGUAUGUGAAUUUCCAUUAUCUUUUCCAUUUUAUUUUUCUUGGUGGCAUGUAAUGCUAAUACAACUUUUAACCCCUCAUAUCAGCAUCAGUAAUCAUGCUUAUUCUGAUUUAGAUUUGUAGACCUUGACAACUGUGCAAAGUGCUUUACUUUCUUUGCCAUAGAUGAGUGAGAGCAUGUCUUGAGUUUUUUCUCUCAAACUAAAUUCUUAUCUGAUUAAUUUAAUUUUUAAUUCACUUUCUGUUUGAUUUACAUUCAACUCUCUCUCUUUCUCUUGCAAAUGUACACAAAUUCCUCAAGGUCAAUUGAAACAGUCUGAUGAGGGGGUCUUUGUUCACAUUGAAAUAUAAAAUUCAACAAUACUUUACCCUCUUUUUCGUAGACGAUGAUACUUUUCUUCUGAAAAACCAAGAUGACACAUUUAUUAUUGGUAUUCAGGAUAACCUUGGUGGUAGACUGCAUGAGAGGAGCAAAGAAACUCCUAAAACUAUGAAGCAAGUUCAACUCUCUCGGAUUUUCCCCAACAAAGUGACCAUACAGCUGCCCCAGGUAGUGAGCCUUUUUUCUUACAUGGUCAUUGUGCUACUUGUUAUUGCUUGCAUGAGGUAAUAUUUGUUGGCUAUCCUGGCAGGAUGAGGCUUUACUUUCGGACUGGAAGCAGCAGUUGGAAUGUGAUGUUGAAACUUUGAAAUCGCAGUCUAAUAUUGUUACCAUUCGCUCAGUAAGUACAUGUGAUCACAUCUUCUUUUUGUUCCUAUUGUUCUUUCCCUUAAAUACGUCUCUCAUGUAUACUGUUCUUACACCUUCUUGCGCACUUAUUGAAACACAAGGAUGUGAAGAUUGUGCACAUGUGCUUGCUAAUGCUAACCGGGAUUCAUGUCUCUGUUGACAUAUUUUAGUUAGCAGUUUAGUGGCUAAUGUAGUGUGUUUAGUGCUUUCGAUGCUAUUCCUGUAUAUUUUCAUAAGGCUGAUGCUUUCAGGUUCUUAACCGAGUUUCUGUGGAUUGCCCUGACCUUGAAAGUCUUUGCAUUAAAGAUAUAGCGCUUACAACUGAAAGUGCGUUUUCUUGAACUCAAAUUUUGUAGUGCAGAACAUUUUGCAGGGAAUAUUGACUUUAAUAUUCACUUACGCGAUUCAUUGUAUAAUCUUUUCUUCAACAGGUGUUGACAAAGUAGUAGGCUGGGCUGUUAGUCACCAUCUUAUGCAUUGUUCAGACGCUUUAGUUAAAGAUGACAAACUUGUUAUUUCUACUGAAAGGUUGUACAAUUUCUUAGGACAGUGUAGUUUAAAUAUACCGUCUAUUCUGUUUUCUUAUCAUAGUUUAUGGUUCUAUGCUACAGUCUUAAGGAUGGACUAAACAUUCUACAAGGCAUUCAAAACGAAAACAAGAGCAUAAAGAAAUCACUUAAGGUAAGUUGAUAUUGUGGGGAAGUACCACAAAUGCCUUGCUUCCGGCUCUCUGAAGAUGAAAUGUAAAUUAGAUUUUCCAUAAUCAGGAAAGUAAGUGCAUAUUGUAUUGGAUUUAACUCCAUGAUAUUUCAGGAUGUGGUUACUGGAAAUGAAUUUGAGAAAAAACUUCUUGCUGAUGUUAUUCCACCGAGCGAUAUUGGGGUUACUUUUGAUGACAUCGGGGCCUUGGAAAAUGUGAAGGACACCCUAAAGGAGUUGGUGAUGCUUCCUCUUCAGAGGCCUGAAUUAUUUAGCAAGGGACAGUUGACUAAGGUAGAAACAUGGCACUCUUUUCAUUUGUCCCCUUUGGAAUUCUUAUCUGAUUAUCGUCACUUAUUCUACAGCCUUGUAAAGGAAUCUUGCUCUUUGGUCCUCCGGGCACUGGAAAGACCAUGCUUGCGAAGGCUGUUGCAACGGAAGCUGGUGCAAACUUUAUUAACAUAUCAAUGUCAAGUAUUACUUCAAAGGUAUUUUUGCAUUUUAUCGUGGUUGUUGGAACUUGGAUAAACAUUUUGUGACAACUAUUGAAUCCAUAUGACCCCUUUAACUUUUGUUGCAGUGGUUUGGGGAAGGAGAGAAGUACGUUAAAGCGGUGUUCUCCUUAGCUAGUAAAAUUGCCCCUAGUGUUGUUUUUGUUGAUGAGGUUGGUUCAUUACAUACUAUAUAUUUGCGCUGUCCAGGGAACCUUUUUCUUUAGUUUUCUCGUUUGGAAAAUGUGAGUUAUACAAAGAGUUUUCUGGAACUGCUUUAUAAGCUGACAUGGUGGGCUAGUUUGCCUCGGUUAUUAAACUACAGCAGUGUAGGCCACUAGUGGAUGGCACGGCCAUGCAAGAUACAAUGUCAGUUUAUGAGUGUUUAUAGAAUCCUUUUGUUCGUCUUGUUUCACUCAAUUUUAUUCCCGUCCAAUUUGAUUUUUUUUUUUGGCUACCAUCAUAGGUUGACAGCAUGUUAGGCAGACGUGAAAAUCCUGGGGAACAUGAGGCUAUGCGUAAAAUGAAAAAUGAGUUCAUGGUUAACUGGGAUGGUCUGCGUACAAAGGAUAAAGAACGUGUAUUGGUACUUGCUGCUACUAAUAGGCCUUUUGACCUUGAUGAGGCUGUUAUUAGGAGGCUUCCGAGGAGGUAAAAUUGCAUGUUUGCCUGUUGUGCUGCUACUGCAUCUGUUAUAUGUCAACGCAAGUAUAUUGACUUCCUGCGUACAAAAUUGAUUCCAUGUGCAGAUUGAUGGUGAACUUGCCAGAUGGCCAGAACAGAGAAAAAAUACUGAGAGUUGUAUUGGCCAAAGAAGAUUUGGAAACUGACGUUGAUUUGGAGGCAGUUGCAAAUAUGACAGAUGGGUAUUCCGGAAGUGACUUAAAGGUUGCCUACUAAUUUUUACGAAACCCAUCUAAGCUUUUUACAUACGUAGUUUUAUUUUUGUCGGUUAUAUUCUAUGUAGUUCUAUUUUCUCUUAUGUAAUGGAUUGUCCCAAUUUUUGUUGUGGUUGCAGAAUCUGUGUGUUGCUGCAGCUCACCUCCCCAUUAGGGAAAUUUUGGAGAAGGAGAAAAAGGUUGGUUUUCUGUACAGUGUAACAAAAAUACAAAGCCCUUGUUGAUUUUUUAACUUGAAGUGGUGUGGUUGGUUACUGCAACUAAGUAGUUCUUUCUUCACGUAUCGCAGGAGAGAAGUUUAGCUUUGGCGGAGAACAGACCUGUACCGGAGUUGUACUGCAGCACCGACAUUCGUCCUUUGAAGAUGGAGGACUUCAAACAUGCGCAUGAGCAGGUACGUUGUGACCUAAUAAUACAAUACGGGGUUUUGGCUUCUUGUAGUAUUCUACCGUGGUCGGAAGUGUUCAGUUGUGUUCCGGAUCAUUGGCUGUCUAAGAUUGAAUUCACUGCAGGUGUGUGCAAGUGUGUCAUCGGAGUCGACAAAUAUGAGUGAGCUUCUCCAAUGGAAUGACCUAUACGGCGAAGGCGGAUCAAGAAAGAAGACCUCUCUCAGCUAUUUUAUGUAGAAUAGGUAUUUUUUUCGGUGUAUAGAAGUUGGUUUUGUUUAUUCUUCUUCAUCGAGCUUAUAAGGCGUGGGAAGAUAUCCAUGGAAAUCCCGUCCAAGUUCACGCCCCCAUUUGUACGAUAUAUAUAGGGUAUUUUUUUUCUCCUUUUUCGCAUUUAUUCGAUUUAUAUUUAACACCUCUGUUAGCAAUGUCGUUCCCAGUUCAUAUGCAGUUAUCUAACUUAGCCUUUUCUCUUUGUUAUGGGUCCUUUUUAGCCUGUAAAUGCUAAUCGAUAAAUGAAAGACGUUUUACAAUUUUCUAAUGUUUGCUUAUUUGAGUCGAUCGGUGUAUGAAAGUGUGAUAUUUUGGAGUGUUUGUAAAGGUAUGAUAGAAAGGAUGCAAAGUCGUGUUACAUUAGAAGUAUGCCUGACAAUUUCUAGACUUGUUAACCCGACACCAAACGACACAAUAAUAACAAGUUUAGAGUUGAUCUGUUAACAAGUCACAUUGUUGUGGAUCAUUCGUUAAGAACCCGAUAUCAUUUUUUAAAAUAAACUAAUGAAUUUAGAAAAUUUUCAACCAGUUUAUCAACCAUCUCAGCAAACAUCAUGACUAUAAGGCACAUUAGAUGAAUGAGUACAUUUUAAAGAUACAAGUAAAACAAUAGUAUGAAAAACUAUGAGGCAUGAUUUGCACCAAUUUACCAUUGAAGGCCAAUUUAUCGACAUGCUCUGAAAACGUUGUAGACUGAUGUAGAGCGUUGUGUCCAUAGUCUGUAGGUUAUCUAUAGAGUAGAAAUUCUUCUAUACAUAUUGGCAUGGGCAAAGUUACAUAGGAGCGAGGAGGGGCGGACACUCCUCCCCUCGUCGGAAAUCAAGGCUAGGAGCGAUGGUUCCGCCCCUCUGGUCCUGUUGGAAAUAAUGGAGUCCCGGCUGCUUCUCUGGAUUCUUUGCUGCUGCACGCAGCAGCAGCUUAGAGUUGUAAGUUUUUUUUUCUUCUGAAAAGUCUUAAGACGGAACGAUGCCGUUUCGGUCGAUUGAGUUAAAAAUAAAAAGAAAUGAUUGUAGUGGGGACCAGUAGUCCUCCCGUUUCCUCUUCACAAUCACACCCCGUCCUUUUUAAGAGAACAACAAAGUAUGCCCCAAAAAACUCACAAUUCACAAAUAUACCCUCUAGUUCUGACUUGUUAAAUUAUAUAUUGGCAAUGUAUUUAAUUUUGUAUAUAUGAAUAUAAAUUUUAGUCCACAAUCACCUAAUGUAGAUUAAUAGUUAGCACAUAAUUCAGUCUCUUACUUAUAUGUUAGCAUUAGAUAAUUGGUAGUGAUCAUUUUGAUCGUUUUUGAAGUAGUGUUCAUUUUGAUAUUUUCAAAUGAGUAAAAAAAUGAAGGACGUAUAGGUUUGGAGUUUACCUUAAAAAUAUAGGUCAACUAUAAUUUACACUCUUCACGUUUGAAAUGAUUUUUAAAAUGGACCACGAAGUUUUAAAAUUCUCAUAAUACAUCUGAUAAUACAUCAUAAGAUAUAUUAUAAGUGUAUUAAUUUUUAUCUUCGGCCUAAUUGUACUAUUUAUUAAAUUGAUGACAUUGUGAGCUUGAUACCCUUAUAUGAGCUCACUUGUAAACUAUAUUUGCACCAGAUUGACUAAAAAAAAAUUGAUUUUGACGAAGAUUUAACUGAAACCGAAGGAUGAUGGGCGUUGAAAAUGUGUUUUUUUGGACGACUAGUCAGAAGAAAAAACAAAGCAUUUCGAAUGGAAGAAUUUGCAAUGACCAAAGACAAACUUUUUUCCUCAAAAAGUUUUUCCGACGGCUUAAUACCUUUUCCUACAACAUUUUACCCUUGCUAAUAACAUUUCAUUAUGAAAUGAAUGAGCACAUUAUGGAAUGUUUUCAUGACACGAAACCUCGCUGGCAAUAAUUUUUACCCAUUCAAAUUUUGCCCCCCUUGUCAAUACUUCCUAGCUUCACCACUAUAUUGGUAUGGGUGGUUUGGGUCGGAUAAUCACAAAUUUAUUCAAUGUAACAAUCCCUAACGUCCCAAAUAGUUGAGUGAUAUCUCUUUAAAUAUUUGCCAUUGAUGGGGUGUUUUUGGAGAUUCCCUUCUAGGUCUGUUAAAUGAUAUACAUGUGAUCUUUUCUAGCUUCCAUGUCAUCGUAAUGAUGGGAGUUGAAGCUUUUUCAUCUGUCUUGAAUCUUCUAUCCGAUAGAUGAUCUUCAAAUUAAGAAUAAACUCAAAAAGAAGGAUAAUUAUUUUAACAAUAUUUGACCAAACUUAAAAAGAGAUGUGUUGGACUCUUCGAAAUAGACUUCUCCAAUCAGCUUGACGACAAAUUGAACCUUGUGAGAGUUGAUGAUCUUGAAAAGUGAGGUCAAAGUACAUAUCUUGUUCACUUUCUCUGGCUCAGCCUUGGUUUGAAUCAAGGUAUUAAAUAUCGAUGAUAUCGGAAAUAUCGGUAGUCCAAAAACACGGAAAUUUUGAUGGAAAUAUCGGAAUAUUAUCGAUAUUGAUAAAAAUUGAAUAAAAACCACGGAAAUUGUAAGAAAAACUUAGCAAUUUUUAUUGAAACUUUGCAGAAUGUUUAUUUAGUCAAUUAUCUAUUAGUUUAUCACAAAAAAUUGGAAGGAAAUGCAUUGCAUGAUGGAUUUAACUUAUUUAAGUUGAUUAUAUAGCGAGCUGGCAAACAUUGUGAGUGUAGAAAAUAUGUAGUAAUUAAUGAAAGAAGUUUAAACACACCAUAAUCAUUUAUAUAUAAUGAAUUAGUACAAUAUUUUACACUUUAUAAAUUGCAUGGUAAGAUACAUGAGUGACUUAGUAUCACAUAGAGUUCCUAUGAGGUUCAAAAUUUUGACUAUCUUCAUCAUCUCUAUGUGUAGAGUGUGUGUAUUGUGAAGAGUAGUCAUCAAAUGAUAAAUCCCCAAAAUAGUUUUGCAUGUAAUUGUUAACAUGCCACCCAUAUGGAUCCGAGAUUGGUUGACGUUGUCCAUAAGCAAAAUCAUUUGAAGAUUGAGUCUCAGAUUCUUUCCAUGAGUCGCUCGAUUCCAUCCUAACAGGAAUGAGAUAUGAAGGGUAGGGAAAUGGUUGGUUAUGAGUAUAACCAUAGUUACUACUUCCCACUCCAACAGAGUUCGAAGUUAUAGAUAACGAGUCAUCUUCUUGACUUGACAAAGUCCCCUUGCCUCUUUCUCUACGAGUAUAGUCCUUCCCUAUGGCACCAAUUUCUGGUCCUGCCCACCUACUGUCAUGGUCCUUAUCCUGUGUUGCAUGCGUGAAGUUUGCCUCACUAGUGAAUGGGCUAAUAAAUCCGGGAGGUGGUCCAACAUAGUUUCCAUAUCCACCACUACCUCCAGCUCCACUAUAUCCUUCAACAUUCCCACCUCCGGUGGUAGGUGAGUCUCCUGAUCUUGUACUAGAGCUAUCAUUAGUAUCAGCAGGAUCUUGUGGUUGUGUAGGAUUGGAAGAAGGUGGAAUUCCAGUGUUUCUUGGUCUUCGGCGCAAUAGUUCUUCCAAAGAGUCAGCGCUUGUAGAUCCCACCUCCUCCUCUAAUACUCUUUCUACAUUUAUCCCUUCAUUAUGUGCUUCUUCAACAACUCUUAGAGCUGGGUUGCCUUUAUCAUCAUCUAAAUGAAGAGGUCUAAUCCAUUGAUAAAGUUGGUUACCCUAUGCAUCAUCAUCUUCAGCAACAAUAUUAAACACAUCUAGUGGGUCACCACGGUCGACAUGAUCUAUUUCUGCUUCCUUAUCUCGAAUUUGAAGCUUCAUGUUGUAGUAGCAAUAAACUAUUUUUUCCAACCUACUAUGAGCUAACCUAUAUACCUUAAUUAGAAAUGGCCAAAAAAAAAAAAAAAAAUUAAAACAGGACCAAAAAAAAAAAAAAAAAAAAAAUCUAUUGGAAAAAGAUUUAAGAACAAAAACAUAAAUUAUAUACCUCACCUAGAAAGGGCUUGCAAACUGGAAAACAACCAAAACAAUCCAAAAUGCCUUUUGAGAUGAUUGAAUCGAAAUCGAAACGAACAGACAGACGAAGAGAUGGAGAGAGCAAUCAAAAGGAAAAGAGACGGAACAAAAUGGAAGACAUUUCCAGUAGCUUCAAAAAGCAGGGUGAAUAUAUUGAAGACCAAACCUCACGAUCACUUACACGUGGGUUGGAUAUUUUAAAAGCAGGUUUGGAUUUUUUUUUUCUUCGCUCGGAAAACACACACAUAUUGACACAUGGGCUGGAUAUUUUGAAAGCAGGUUCGGAUUUUUUUUUCUUCUCUUGGAUAACACACACACACACACGCACGCACACAUGCACAGACUACUUCCUUCUCCCUUAUUCCUCUCCUCAUUCAUCUCCGGUUCUCCCCCCAUCUCUUCUCUUCAAGUCUUAUUCCCAGAGCAGACAGACACACACACACCCUACUUUCCCGUGUUUCCCCCUUCCCUAAUCCCUCGAACCUUAUCCCUCAUUUAUGUCCUUGUUUCUUCUCCCCCGGAGCAUAGACCACCACACCCACACCCGCCGAGCACCACAAUGGCGAACACUCCGACGAGCACCAUCACCACCUGUGGAACGUUCCUCAUCCCUUUCUCACCUCCCGACGACCACCAUUAGGCAAGGGGAUCCAUCAAACGGUUUGAUUCAAACCCGAGCAGGUUUUGGGAUCCGGAGAAAAUGGAUUUUUCAUUUACUAUGACGGAGGCGCAUAUCUUGGGUCUGAGCCCGGAUUGUAGUGAGAGAUCUGGGCCGACGCAGCCUCGGCUGCCUUUUCGACGACAGAGCCACGACGAUUGUUUCGAUAAUAUCGAAUAUAUCGCGAUAUUAUUGAUAUUAUCGAUAAUAUCGCGAUAUUUUGACGACAAUUAGAGGGAUACGUGGGAAAAUAUCGGUCUUUCUGAAACGAUAAUAUCGGCAAUAUUUUGCCGAUAUUAUCGAUAUUUUAGUCAUUGGUUUGAACUCCUCCCUUUUAUCUCUGACCCAACAAUAUCUAUUUAGGAGAUCGAAAAUUUGGUGCCAAGUUGUGUGAUAAUAAUAAGAUAAGAGUAUUAGUAAUAAAUAUCAAACUCGUCAUUCAUUUAUAAUAUUUUAAUAAUUUAAUAUUGAAUUUGUCGUUCAUUUAUAAUAUUUCACUUCCACAUGAAGAUAAAGUACUACUCGAAGCCCGAUCCAUUUUCUGUGAGCGGAGGCCACCUUGUUUUGUGUGCCAUGGUCUGCCUCAUUCUGCCUAAGCUUAGUCAUCCUCGUUCUGCAUGCGUCGAGACUGCUUAACACCCAACAUUUUUUACAAAAAUGCACAUUUUUUAUUAUUGGAAAAUAUUUUUCUUGAGUAUUAAGUUAAACUUUUUAAGGAAUUUGGAAGCAAUUUUACGACUUAUUGAACAAAAAAUGUAUAUUUAGUAGAAUAUUUGAGCCGAGAACUAAAAAGAUAAGCAAAAAACAUAGUAGUGAGUCCCAUAACAUUGUCAAAUGGGGUUUGACACUCAAGAAUCUCAACGGAAAGCCUCAUCUUAAUUUUCAAAACUUCACAGUGAAUCGAAGGUGAAAAUAAAUAGAUUGAACGGUAAUUUAUGUACGAAUUUGCAAAACUGACUGAAAACCGUGAGUGUUAACCCAUAUUUUUUUGUAAAAAAUGCAAAUAUUUUAUUUUGUCCAAAUAUUUUCCGUGAGCAUUAAAGCAAUUUGUAUAAUGUAUUUGGAAGUGGAUUUACGAUUUAUUUAGCAACACGUGUAUAUUUAAUAGAAUAUUUAAGCCGAAAAGUAAAAAAAAUAAGUGAACAACAUAGAGACGUUAAAAUGUAUAUUUUAUUAUUAUUAUUAUUUUUGUUAUAAAAUUAGAAAUGUUAAAAUCACUUGUAGGUGAGGCUUAAAAUAAAAAUAGCAAAAUUUUGUUUUGUUAAAUAGUCUUUCACCCUUUUUUGGUUAACAAAGAGGGUUCUAUUAAUAUGUAGUUUAGAUUUUGAUGAAAGAAAAAAUUAACAAAAAGAAAAAUCUGGUUCAAAUAUCGUUAAAUUUAGGUCUUAAAUGGUUGAUUACAAGUGUUCAAAUACGAAUUAUAAUAAAUUUUGCAUGGAAAAAUAUAUUUUGAAGGGCAUGAAUAUAAUAGUUUGUUGUAGUGGUAAGAGAAAUAAAAGAAAAUUGUACAAAAAUGAUUGAAAUUCUUGGGGGUGGCAGAAAGUCACGCCUGCUUUCUGGCACCCGGGGAAUUUCAAUGAUGUUUGUUAAUUUUUCUUUCAGUUCUCUUACCACUACGACAAACUAUCACAUUCAUGUUCUUCAAAAUAUAUUUUUCUGUGCAUGGAGCCUGACUCAUUUUUUGAGCGCCCAGGAGUUCGCCUCAUUCUGCGUGCGUGGAGCCCACCUCGUCUUGUGUGCCUGGGUUCGCCUCAUUCGGCAUAUGAGGUGUUCGCAUCGUUUUGUGUGUCAGAAACCCGUCCUUUUUUUUGUCCAUAGAGCCUGCGUCGUUUUGACAUGCACGGAGCUAACCUCGUUUUCGUGCGCAGGACUGGCCUAGAUUUGUGCGACGUAUCCCUCCUCGUUUCUCAUGCGCAGAGCUCGCCUCAAUGUGCUUGCCGGGAAGCCCGCUCUGUUUUCUUGAGCGCAACCCGCCUUGUUUUGCUUGCCAAUAUUCGCCUCGUUCUGCAUGUGUCGAGCCCGCCUAACAUCCUACUUUUUGACAAAAAUGCAAAUUUUUUAUUUUCGCAAAAUAUUUUUUUUGAGCAUUAAGUUAAACUUUUAAGGAAUUUGAAAGCAAUUUACGACUUAUUGAGCGACAAAUGUAUAUUAAUAGAACAUUUGAGCCGAGAACUAAAAAAAUAAGCGAAAAACAUAGUAAUGAGUUCCAGAACAUUGUAAAAUGGGGAUAGACACUCAAGAAUCUCAAUGGAAAGCCUUGCCUUAAUUUCCAAAACUUCACAGUGAGGUGAAGGUGAAAAUAAAUAGAUUGUACGAUGAUUUAUGUAUGAAUUUGCAAAACCAACUGAAAACCAUGAGUGCUAAUCCACGUUUUCCAAAUAUUUUUUGUGAGCAUUAAAGAAAUCUUUAUAAUGUAUUUAGAAGCGGAUUUACGAUUUAUCGAGUAAUAAGUGGAUAUUUAGUAAAAUAUUUAAGCCGAAAAGUAAAAAAAAUAAGUUAACAACAUAGAGAUGUCAAAAUGUGCGUGUGUAUAUAUAUAUUAGAGAUGUUAAAAUCACAUGUAGGUGAGGCUUAAACAAAAAAUAGCAAAAAUUUGUUUUGUUAAAUAGUCUUUCACCCGCUUUUGGUUGAUAAAGAGGAUUCUAUUAAUAUGUAGUUUAGAUUUUGAAAAGAGAAAAAAUUAACAAAAAGAAAAAUCAGGUUCAAAUAUUGUUAAAUUGAGGUCUUAAAAGGUUGAUUACAAGUGUUUAAAUAUGAAUUAUAAUAGAUUUUGCAUGAAAAAAUAUAUUUUGAAGGGCUUGAAUAUGAUAGUUUAUUGUAAUGGUAAGAGAAAUGAAAACAAUAAUACAAAAAUGAUUGAAAUUCUUGGGGUGGCAGAAAGUCACUUGACUUUCUGGCACCCCAGGAAUUUCAAUCAUGUUUGUUAAUUUUUCUUUAAGUUCUCUUACCACUACAACAAACUAUCACUAGUGUUUAAAUACGAAUUAUAAUAGAUUUUGCACGAAAAAGUAUAUUUUAAAGGCCAUGAAUAUGAUAGUUUGUUGUAGUGGUAAGACAAAUAAAAGAAAAAUGUACAAAAAUGAUUGAAAUACUUGGGGUGGUAGAAAGUAGUUUCAAAAUAUAUUUUUCUGUGUGUGGAGCCCGACUCGUUUUCUGAACAGCCGAGAGUUCACCUCGUUUUGCAUGCACAAAGCCCACCUCAUCUUGUGUGCCUGGGUUCGCCUCGUUCUGCAUGUGAGGUGUCUGCAUCAUUUUGCAUAUCAGAAGCCCGUCCCUUUUUUUGUCCACGGAGCAUGCACCGUUUUGACUUGCACGAAGCCAGCCUCGUUUUUCGUGUGCAGGGGUGGCCUAGAUUUGUGUGUAGUAUCCCUUCUCGUUUCUCAUGCGCGGAACUCACCUUGUUUUGCUUGCCUGGAGGCCCACCAAGUUUUCUUAAGCGCAGCCUGCUUUGUUUUGCAUGCCAAGAUUCAUCACGUUCUGUGUGAGUUGAGUCCGCCUCGUUUUGCCACUACAAGAAAACAUGGAAUAGGUGACCAAAUUUUAUGUGGCGCCCAAAAAUUCUUCACAUAUUUUUUCUAUAUGUGAUGCAUUGUUCAGAGCGUCACGCAUGACUAGUUUUUUAGGUAUGAAAUUUGAGAACAUUUAGGUGAUGAUAAAUACAUCACAUAUUCUAGAAUGGAGUGACGAAAAUCAUAAGCGUCACUUAAAAAUUAUUUUUUAUCUUUUAAGAUUAAAAAGUGGUGACACAAAUUUUAUGAAGUGCUUACUAAAAUAUAUGGCAAGGAACAAUGGCACCCUAAAGAAGUGUGAUAUGUCAGGAAUUUCAAAAAGGUCACAUAUGUGUAUUCUCGGUGACGAAAGUGAUUCAUCACUCUUUCAACAGUAAAUAAAAAAAGAAAAAAAAAAGAAACAUAGUAAAGUAUUAAACAAAUUUGAUAAAGCCCAUCUAAAUUCUAAACUGUUCUCACUCACUUUCCCUUUCUCUAUGUCUCAGACUUCUCCCGUCUCUUGUCCCUGUGACCCAAGCCACCGACGCGUCUCCUAAUCUUCUUCUCUCUAUACCGCGACAUUACCGGUAUCUUUUAAGUUAAACGCUCAAACCCUUUCUCAUCUAUUCGCUGUCUAUCACACUCCACAACCAAAAACCCUAGAGACCAAUUCAACCAACAAGCCAAAUCCACACCAUGUCACGUCUCAACCUUCUUCCAGUUUCUUGCUCCACCACCGAAAACCCAAGAACCCUAACCCUUUCAACCAACUACAUAAAUCUAUGCCAAAUUUCUCCAUGCCUACGAGACUACUAUGUGGCCAAAUGGUUAACGAAUUCAAUUUUUAUCAUUCUUUUUAAGUUAGGGUUUUGGAUAUGCAGGUAAUUGCCUCCAAAUUGAGCACGCCAACAGCCGUCGACCUCUACAUCCAUCUUUCAAGGACUCUAAUUGGGUAAAAUUUGGUUUUUAAUUUUUAGAUUUAUAUAUAAAUAUUAUAUAUCUCCCUCCCGCCUGUCUGCUUUCCGUCACCGUCGAAGUGCCCGGACAUUCAAGCUCUAGAAUCCCCAAUACAUGGAGCUUUUCUGCAUUUCGUUCGCCAAACUUUGGGUAUGUUCUCAAUCUCUAGACCCUAUCCUUUUCCCUUUAACUUUUUGUUUAGUCUCAACUUUAUGGUGUUUUUCUUAUAUUUGUUCUAUCACUGUAAUUUUAAGUUAUUUUAGGUAAUGAAUUUGGUUGAGAAUCUUAGUUAGGUUUGUAAUUUUUUUCUAGUUGCCUGGGUUUGAGGAUGAUUAAUCCACUUUCUAAAUUUUAAUUACUUUGAACUUUGAUUAUUAGGAAACUGCAAUUUCAAAAUUCCAGACAUGAUUAUAUCUCCAUAAUUUCGAUGACAGACUGUUCUAAAAAAGAUUCAUAUGUACUGCCUGAUUAGAUUAUUAGAUUAUUUGUCCUGAAUCCUAAGGUAGAUCUAUAAAUGUUGACAUUUUGCUUAAACGGAAUAGUUUCCACCUCAUUGCUUCAAUCAUGUUUUGUGUCCUUAAAUCCAAGAAAGCUGACUAAACUAAAAUAAACUCUCCCAGUCAUUUAGCUUGGGUGGUGAGAUGAGGACUGAAGGAAUUUUGGUCAGUUUUUGGUCCACCAAUUUUAAAACAGCCACAUAGCCCCAAGAAAAUAGACAACAACUGAUUUCCAGCAAGCUGCCCUUUUCACAUCCAAACUUGUUUUCCCACUUUACAAAUAUUCCUUCGAACUUUAAUUUGUUGUACGGAACCCCUCACACAUUUUGUUCGACAAGCUAGUAUAUUUGCCUCUCAUCAUUUCUAUCCCAUCAUAAUUAUAAACGUUUAAACUAGCUUGAAUAGGGAAAAAGGGAAAAAGAAACACUUAAAGAUCUCUAAUAUUGACAAAGGAUAUGAAUAUAAUCUUUUUAAUUUCAAGCUUGAUAACACAAGUCACUUAAAGUAACUUAUAACUUUCAAGUGCUUGGUAAUGGCGAAUUUUUAUUUUAAAGUAUGUUAUUGUUUAUGCUAAAUGUAAUAUAAGCUUUUUAAAUAAUUGAGUUUGCAUAUCUGGUAUUUUUUAUUUUGAGUUGGGUUUAGUGGAGGCCAUUUGGACUAAGUUGGGAAUGCUCAUUUUCUGGUUUCUGAAUUCCUGAAUGAGAUCAUCAAUUUGAGCAGCUUUCCUUUUCUACUACACUGUGAUGGCAUGCCUAUUCACACGAGAACAAUGUAAAGCUGUGAUCAACUAUUGAAAGUUCCUUCAUCAUUAACUGGUUAGAUUAUAAUCCCAGCCUCUGGAGAUAUGUUUAGCAAUGGCACACAUUCAGUUUGGUGAUUUGGAUAUAUUUUUCACUAGCAUGUUUAGAGGGCCUUUAUUUAUCUUCUACAAAAGAGCACUUGUAUAGAAAGAGCUUGAGAGGCAAACACCGCCUGCCCUAUGAGAAGAAGCGCAAGGCAGGCUCACAAGGUAAUGAAAUUAAAGCACAUAUAAAACUCAUUAUGUAAUUUAGAUAGGCUCAUCUGUUAUGUUUCGUUCUUCUUAAUGUAAUUGUUUCUUCAAUUCUUAUUUUCUUCUCUUUUGUUAAUGUUAUUCAAUUGCUCAAUGCACCUACUAUUGUCUAGACAAACAUACACCUAUGUUUUCUUCUCUUUUUUUUAUGUAAGGAUAAGAUGAAGAAAAAGAAGGAUCAAAUUAAAGGUGAAAGCAUUCAAGAAGCACCUGAGGUAGUGAUGGUGAUCUUUCAAAUGACAAUGAUACUUGUGCUAAACUGAAGACCAUGAUAUGGUUGAUGACUUAUGUAUUUUGUUGUUGGUUUUAAAUAUGCACAUGGUAUACCUAUUUUAUUAUCGACUCAAUGGCUUAGAAUCUUGUUAGCAUUUCAAUAUGUCUAGAGGUGUUAGGAUGCUUAUGUUAGCUUUUGGGAUACUUGGUGUAUGUACUGGAUGUUACCUAACUUAUUGAUCAAUGAAAUGUGAUUAAACAAAGUAUUACCUCAUAUUUGUUAUGAAUGUUAAUUCUAGAUGACGAAGCGGGGUUCGAAUUGUUCCUAAUAGGUAUAUGAAUUUGACACAUGUGACACAAAUUGCGCCACAUGCCAAAGGAAUAUGUGACACUUUCAAUUUCACUUAUCCUUAGCCAUAGCAUUUUACGAUCAGAUUGCGUGAUGAUAAAUUCCUUACUUAUACAUUUGUUAUGUGACGAACUUAUAGGUCACUAACUUUUGUCUUUUGUGACGCUUAUUUCGUCACACGUAAAGUUAUUAAGUGACAAAUGCGGCGUCACUAAUACUUAAAAAAUGUGGUGAGUGAAAAAAUUUGUCACGAAACUAUAGGUGACGUAUAUGUGACAAACAUAGUGACGCUGGAUUUUCGUCAUAUAUAAUCAAAUGUGACAAAUUUUCAUGUUUAUGUGACGAAUGUGUGUCGCCACCUAAGUCAUGUUUUCUUGUAGUGUGUGCGUCGAUCGUCUAACCCCAUGUUUUUUUGACAAAAAUGCACAUUUUUUAUUUUCACAAAAUAUUUUUCCUGAGCAUUAAGUUAAAUUUUUUAAGAAAUUUGGAAGCAGUUUUACGGCUAAUUGAGCGACAAAUGUAUAUUUAGUAGAAUAUUUGAGCCGAGAACUAAAAAAAUAAGCGAAAAACAUAGUAGUGAGUCCUAGAACAAUGUCAAAUGGGGUUAGACACUCAAGAAUCUCAACGGAAAGUCUCACCUUAAUUUCCAAAACUUCAUAGUGAGGCGAAGGUGAAAAUAAAUAGAUUGAACGGUGAUUUAUGUAUGAAUUUGCCAAAUCGAUUGAAAACCGUGAGUGUUAAUCCACGUUUUCCAAAUAUUUUCCGUGAGCAUUAAAUAAAUCUUUAUAAUGUAUUUGGAAGCGGAUUUACGAUUUAUCGAGCAACAAGUGUAUAUUUAGUAAAAUAUUUAAGCCAAAAAGUAAAAAAAAAUAAGUGAACAAAUUAGACAAAAAAUAGCAAAAUUUUGUUUUGUUAAAUAGUCUUUUACUCUCUUUUGGUUGACAAAGAGGGUUCUAUUAAUAUGUAGUUUAGAUUUUGAUAAAAGAAAAAAUUAACAAAAAGAAAAAUUAGGUUCAAAUAUCGUUAAAUUAAGGUCUUAUAUUGUUGAUUACAAGUGUUUAAAUACGAGUUGUAAUAGAUUUUGCACGGAAAAAUAUAUUUUGAAGGGCUUGAAUAUGAUAGUUUAUUGUAGUGGUAAGAGAAAUAAAAGAAAAUUGUAGAAAAAUGGUUGAAAUUCUUGGGGGUGGCAAAAAGUCACGCCUGAUUUUGUGGCUCGUGACUUUCUGACACCCAUGAAUUUCAAUCAUGUUUGUUAAUUUUUCUUUCAGUUCUCUUACCACUACGACAAACUAUCACAUUCAUGUUCUUCAAUAUAUAUUUUUCUGUGCGUGGAGUCCGACUCGUUUUCUCAACACCCAGGAGUUCGCCUCGUUUUACGUGUGCGGAGCCCACAUUGUCUUGUGUGCCUGGGUUCACAUCGUUUUACAUGCAAGAAGCCCGUCCCUUUUUUUGUGCAUGGAGCUUGUGCUGUUUUGACGUGCACGGAGCCAGUCUCGUUUUCCACGCGCAGGGUAGGCCUAGACUUGUGCAACGUAUCCCUCCUCGUUUCUUAUGUGCGGAGCUCGUCUUGUUUUGCAUACUGGAAGCCCAUCCCGUUUUCUUGAGCCCAACCCGUCUUGUUUUGCAUGUCAAGAUUCACCUCGUUUUACGUGAGCUGAGUCGGCCUCAUUUUGCUCAUUUUGUGUGAGUCGAUCCCUCCUAAAACCCUGCUUUUUGACAAAAUGCAAAACUUCACAGUGGGGCAACUUACCAGUGCGGCAACUUAACUUCCAAAACUUCACAGUGGGGCAACUUAACAACUAAGACAACUCUUCCGAAUGUUUAGCGCUUCUUCUAGUGCCAAUUUUGACUUGACUGGCAGCACUUCUAAAAAACUUGACGAGCAAAGGGAAAUCAGAGAACUUCUUCACAACUUUGAUCCUCCAAUGUCUAUAUCAACUAGACGACAACGUCGACAAGCAUUUAAAGAAAAACUGCAACAAGGAAUUCUACGUCCUGGUGAUACUGAUGUCUCAUUCGAAAGUUUUCCAUAUUACCUAAGGUGCAGCAAUUUGCUUUUUAUUUUUAUUUUAUUUAUUGUGCAUUAGAUCAUCAUAUGAUACUGAACUAGCUUCCCUUAUUGUGAUUGGUCCAUAUGUAGUUGGACUCUUAUUGGUCAAUUCUGAGCUCAGACCUUUCCUCAUUUUGCAUUUUUACAGUGAUACAACAAAGAAGGUUUUGAUUGCAUCCACCCUCCCGAAUUUGAGGUGUAGCAAGUUUGGAAAAUAUUUUUCAUCACUACCUACCGGGAGCCCGCGCAUAUUGUUAUCUGGUCCAGCAGGUACUUCUGCCAUUUUAAUUUCUACACAUAGGCUUGUAAUUCUGUGGUUGAUGAUGCUUGUAAAUUCUGAAGUUUGAUAUUUUCUUUUUCUUUCCGUGUUAAUUCAUUAUGUUUUUAUUUUAACAAUUCUUUUGUAGGUUCUGAGAUAUAUCAGGAAACCUUGGCAAAGGCACUCGCGAAACAUUUUGAUGCUAGAUUACUAAUUGUAGAUUCUCUUCUCCGGCAUGGUGUAUGUUCCUUCGUGUUGCUUUUUUAACUAGAAUCUUGUUUGCUUACAAGCAUAUAUUGGAGUUCUGUUGUUGUUGAUCUACUUUUUUUCUAGCAGUUUUCUUCGUCAUUCCAGGAAUUCAAGUUUAGAAUUGUGGAUUUUUCUUUUAAAUAUUUCUUGGAAUAUACUUCUUAAUAGGUUGAUGAAAGUGUUUCCACUCAUGCAAUGCGUGAACUUCUUGAGGUACUCAUCUCCUUGUGUGGUUCUGGAGGUGAUGAUAUUGGCAAUCUUGCAAUCGGUGAACUUCUUGAGGUACUCAUCUCCUUUACACUAACAGGAGCUCAUUUAACUGUACCAAUAUAGUUGCUGUUAAUUUGGUAUUAAUAUCUGCACCAAUGUUGUGCAGGUGGCAACCAAUAUCUGCACCAAUGUUGUGCAGGCGGCAACCAAUGAGAGUAAAAGUCUUCCUUUGAUAGUGUUUUUGAAAGAUAUAGAAUCGGUUAUGGUAGGUAACCCAGAUGCAUAUAGUGUCUUGAAGAGUAAGCUUGAAAACUUGCCAGAGAAUGUUGUUGUGAUCGGCUCUCAUACCCAGUUGGACAAUCGCAAGGACAAGGUAAGAGGCUGAGGAUUUUAUCAGUUAGCUGAUUUUGAACUCACUAUUGUAGUUUGACAUUAACAGCUUUGCUUGAUCUCGCUUUUCCGGUAUGUGAAUUUCCAUUAUCUUUUCCAUUUUAUUUUUCUUGGUGGCAUGUAAUGCUAAUGCAAGUUUUAACUACUCAUAUCAGCAUCUGUAAUCAUGCUGAUUCUGAUUUAGAUUUGUAGACCUUGACAACUGUGCAAAGUGCAUUACUUUCUUUGCCUUUGAUGAGUGAGAGCGAGUCUUGAGUUUUUACUCUCUAACUAAAUUUUUAUCUGAUUAAUUUAAUUCUCAAUUUGCUUUCUGUUCGAUUUACAUUCAACUCGGUCUCACUUUCUCUUGCAAAUGUACACAAAUUCCUCAAGGUCAAUUGAAACAGUCUGAUGAGGGGGCUUUGUUCACAUUGAAAUAUAAAAUUCAACAAUACUUUGCCCUCUUUUUCGUAGAUGAUGAUACUUUUCUUCUGAAAAACCAAGAUGACACAUUUAUUGGUGGUGUUCAGGAUAACCUUGGGGGUAGGCUGCAUGACAGGAGCAAAGAAACUCCUAAAACUAUGAAGCAAGUUCAACUCUCUCGGAUUUUCCCCAACAAAGUGACCAUGCCCCAGGUAGUCAGCCUUUUUUCUUAUAUGGUCAUUGUGCUUAGGGUGGUUCGGUAUGGGAUCCCAUACCGAAACCCUUGUCCCGAUUCCCAUACCGAAAUUUUCGGGAAUCCCAAUUUCAAUACCGAUCCCAAACCAAAUUUUCGGGAAUCCCAAUUUUCGGGAAUCCCGAAAUAGUUUCGGGAUUUCGGGACAAAUCGGGAAUCCCAAAAAUAAUUUUAGGCUUUUGGACUUUUGGGCUUUUGGACAAAAAAAGCUAAUAUUGGUCCAAUUGGACAAAAACCUAAUAUUGGGCCUGCCCACUGAAUGUAACAGCCCCCACAUAUGGGCUUAACUUUUAUUCAACCAAAUAAAAAAAAUAUUGGGCAAACCUGCAAUGUUUAUAAGAGCAGAACGAACAUUAGCAGUUCAGCUGCAUUUUCCACUUGUAUUGUAGCCAAGGUUUUAAAAUAAAUAAAGUAACAAACCCAAAAGCAAAAAAAUUAGUUACAAUCCAAAGUUUUAAUAAUUAAGUUACAAACCAAAAGCAAAAAAACAAAGUUUCAAGUUUAUGAAGAUUGUUGACAUCUUCGGCCCCUUCUUGUUGGCACUUGUAAUUUUCCCCUUGAUGUUGAUGGUUGAGCCCUUCCCCUUACAAUGGGUGGUCGUGGUCGUGAAGGUAGUGAUUGAUUUUGACGUUGUUGAACUUGUACUUGAGGUGGUCGAGGAGGUGGAGGUGGCAUUUCAUUUUCUUGUGUUGUAUUCUCCUCACCUCCCAAAUUAGCCAUGUCUAAAACAAUAAACCACAAAUCAUUUACAUUGAAUUAUAGUCUAAUAGAUAAUAAAUACUAAGAAAAUAAAAGAUGAAAUUAAAUUGUUUACUUACUUCUUUCUAAGCGUUCAAGCUCCUCGUAGAAACAUAAUUCGUCAAGGGUAGGCUCCUUGUCUCACUACUUCUACUUCUGCUACUUCCUUUUCCCCCUCUUCCCCCUCUUCCCCCUCUUCUUCUAUUUGUUCUAAUGCAAUAUCCUCCUCCACAUCCAGAUCAUCAUCCCAACAAUCUUCAUAAUAAUCAUUAUGCAAAUAAUCUUGAGGUGAGGGAGUGCCUAGUUGAAGGGUACCACUAAGUUGGGUUUGUUUUCGUUUUCCUAAUACCAAGACCAUAUGUGUACUAGAUUGGCUACUAGAUCCGUCCAUCCUAACAAAUAAAAUAACAAUGUACAUUAAUAUAUCACAACCACAGUUCAGCAUAGUGUGUACAUUAAUAUAUCACAACCACAGUUCAGCAUAGUGUGUACAUUAAUAUAUAACAAUGUACAUUAAUAACAAUGUACAAUCAAAGUAAAAUCUGACCCAAUAUAUACAUCCUAUGAUAACAUUAACUUGUUACUUGUUUAAAUUAUGUAAUGGGAUUUUAAAAUGGUUAAUGGCAUGCGAUUCAUCACAAAUGAAGUAAGGAAAAUAAUGUGCACAUAUUCAGCAAGCUGAUCACAAGUAAAACAGAUAUAAAUAAAAGACAUCACCAUAAACCUACCUCUUCAUGAAUUUUUGUAAUUUCACGAGCUAGGACGCAUUUUCUGAAACACAAUUACAAACUCACCAAAUCAGUUUUUUGUAAAACCACUAAGUCAGUAAAAGCGCAUAAAUCCAUACAUGGAAGUUUAAUUUGUAACUCACCAUAACAAAAACUAAUAUAUAAUCAUUUUUUUCUUAAGUCAGUAAAGCUUUUAUUGAAGUUGGUAUUUUUUCUUAAUACCUUUAUUAAAAUUGAUUUUUAAUCUGAAGCCUUAAAAGUAUUUACCUUGAAACACCAAAAACUGAAGAAGUCUCUUCAAGAAACUGUUGAAGUUUGUGGGGAGGCACAUAGAAUAUUUGGGUCGUCCCCUCAUUUGCUGAAACCGUCAACCUCUCUCUUCUAGAUCCAACAUGUUUAGAGAGAAAUCCAACUGCAGAAGUAUACUCAGUUUCAGAGUUCUAUAUACAUCUUAUCCACCAAGAAGAAUAUCUGCAGCAUCAUUUCCAUGGAAAACUUACCAAACGUAAACUCAUCCGUGGAGAGGCCAGAUGCAGAGAGAGCAGCCACAAAAGCAGACGGCCCAGGUAUAGGAAUAACAGGGAUGUUUUCAUCCACGCACAGCUUUGCCUGCAAUAAAACUUGAGAGAGAUCCAAUUGCAGAAGUAUACUCGAGAGAGAUCCCCAGUUCUGUGACCUGUCCUGUCCUGUCCGUGAAAGACAAUCGCCCUAGAGAGAGAGAGAGCAGUGGUUGUGUGGUGAAGGAAGGCUGGAGAGUCAGAGACGAGAGUAUGGUGUGGUGGUGGGUCGGUUGCUGGUUGGAAUUCGACAGUAUGGUGAGGGACGACGUUGGUGAGGGUCGGAGGCUCACGGCUGCGCUUCGAAACAAAUGAACGGAGGAAUACAAAAGUGAAAUGUUAUCAUCUGACCUAAAAACAAAUCGACGGCACAGAUUAAAUCCAAAACAAUCAACGGUUGAAAUAAUUCUCUUAUAAUUAAAAAAUUAUAUAUAUAUAUAUAUAUAUAUUUUGGUUCGGUAUGGGAAUACCGAAAAAAUGAAAUGCAAUACCGAAUCCCAUACCGAAAAUUUCGGUUUGGUUUGGGAUUACAUCCCGAAACUUUCGGGAAUUUUGGUUUGGGAUUAUUUUGGUUUGGGAUCGGGAUUUUUUUGGUUUGGUUUGGGAUUUUUGGGAUUUUUUUCCAGCCUACUUGUUAUUGCUUGCAUGAGGUAAUAUUUGUCGGCUAUCCUGGCAGGAUGAGGCUUUACUUUCGGACUGGAAGCAGCAGUUUGAACGUGAUGUUGAAACUUUGAAAUCGAAGUUUUAUAUUGUUGCCAUUCACUCAGUAAGUACAUCUGAUCACAUCUACUUUUUGCUCUUAUUGUUCUUUCCCUUAAAUACGCCUCUCAUGUAUACUGUUCUUACACCUUCUUGCGCACUUAUUGAAACACAAGGAUGUGAAGAUUGUGCACAUGUGCUUGCUAAUGCUAACCGUGAUUCAUUUCCCUGUUGACAUUUUUAGUUAGCAGUUUAGUGGCUAAUGUAGUGUGUUUAGUGCUUUCGAUGCUAUUCCUGUAUAUUUUCUCGUAAGGCUGAUGUUUUCAGGUUCUUAACCGAGUUUCUGUGGAUUGCCCUGACCUUGAAAGUCUGUGCAUUAAAGAUCUAGUGCUUACAACUGAAAGUGCGUUUUCUUGAACUCAAAGUUUGUAGUGCAGAACAUUUUGCAGGGAAUAUUGACCUUAAUAUUCACUUAUGCGAUUCAUUGUAUAAUCCUUUCUUCAACAGGUGUUGACAAAGUAGUAGGCUGGGCUGUUAGUCACCAUCUUAUGCAUUGUUCAGACGCUUUAGUUAAAGAUGACAAACUUGUUAUUUCUACUGAAAGGUUGUACAAUUUCUUAGGACAGUGUAGUUUAAAUAUACCGUAUAUUCUGUUUUCUUAUCAUAUUUUAUGGUUCUGCGCUACAGUCUUAGGGAUGGACUAAACAUUCUACAAGGCAUUCAAAACGAAAACAAGAGCAUAAAGAAAUCACUUAAGGUAAGUUGAUAUUGUGGGGAAGUACCACAAAUGCCUUGUUUCGAGCUCUCUGAAGAUGAAAUGUAAAUUAGAUUUUCCAUAAUCAGGAAAGUAAGUGUAUAUAUAUUGGAUUUAACUCCAUGAUAUUUCAGGAUGUGGUUACUGGAAAUGAAUUUGAGAAAAAACUUCUUGCUGAUGUUAUUCCACCGAGCGAUAUUGGGGUUAGUUUUGAUGACAUCGGGGCCUUGGAAAAUGUGAAGGACACCCUAAAGGAGUUGGUGAUGCUUCCACUUCAGAGGCCUGAAUUAUUUACCAAGGGACAGUUGAAUAAGGUAGAAACAUGGCACUCUUUUCAUUUGUCCCCUUUGGAAAGUGAAACAGUUCUAUGUUGGUGCUUCUUUUCUUUCAUGUUUCUUAUCUGAUUAUCGUCACUUAUUCUACAGCCUUGUAAAGGAAUCUUGCUAUUUGGUCCCCCGGGUACUGGAAAGACUAUGCUUGCGAAGGCUGUUGCAACUGAAGCUGGUGCAAACUUUAUUAACAUAUCAAUGUCAAGUAUUACUUCAGAGGUAUUUUUGCAUUUUAUCGUGGUUGUUGGAACUUGGAUAAACAUUUUGUGACGACUAUUGAAUCCAUAUGACCCCUUUAACUUUUGUUGCAGUGGUUUGGGGAAGGAGAGAAGUACGUUAAAGCGGUGUUCUCCUUAGCUAGUAAAAUUGCCCCUAGUGUUGUUUUUGUUGAUGAGGUUGGUUCAUUACAUUCUAUAUAUUUGCGCUGUCCAGGGAACCUUUUUCUUUAGUUCUCGUUUGGAAAAUGUGAGUUAUACAAAGAGUUUUCUGGAAUAUACCAUGCCAGUUUAUGAGUGUUUGUAGAAUCCUUUUGUUCGUCUUGUUUCACUCAAUUUUAUUCCCGUCCAAUUUGAUUUUUUUAUUGGUACCAUCAUAGGUGGACAGCAUGUUAGGCAGACGUGAAAAUCCUGGGGAACAUGAGGCUAUGCGUAAAAUGAAAAAUGAGUUCAUGGUUAACUGGGAUGGUCUGCGUACAAAGGAUAAAGAACGUGUAUUGGUACUUGCUGCUACUAAUAGGCCUUUUGACCUUGAUGAGGCUGUUAUUAGGAGGCUUCCGAGGAGGUAAAAUCGCAUGUUUGCCUGUUGUUCUGCUACUGCAUCUGUUAUAUGUCAACGCAAGUAUAUUGACUUCCUGCGUACAAAAUUAAUUCUAUGUGCAGAUUGAUGGUGAACUUGCCAGAUGCCCAGAACAGAGAAAAAAUACUGAGAGUUGUAUUGGCCAAAGAAGAUUUGGAAACUGACGUUGAUUUGGAGGCAGUUGCAAAUAUGACAGAUGGGUAUUCCGGAAGUGACUUAAAGGUUGCCUACUAAUUUUUACGAAACCCAUCUAAGCUUUUUACAUACGUAGUUUUAUUUUUGUCGGUUAUAUUCUAUGUAGUUCUAUUUUCUCUUAUGUAAUGGAUUGUCCUGAUUUUUGUUGUGGUUGCAGAAUCUGUGUGUUGCUGCAGCUCACCUCCCCAUUAGGGAAAUUUUAGAGAAGGAGAAAAAGGUUGGUUUGCUGGACAGUGUAACAAAAAUACAAAGCCCUUGUUGAUUUUUUAACUUGAAGUGGUGUGGUUGGUUACUGCAACUAAGUAGUUCUUUCUUCACGUAUCGCAGGAGAGAAGUUUAGCUUUGGCGGAGAACAGACCUGUACCGGAGUUGUACUGCAGCACCGACAUUCGUCCUUUGAAGAUGGAGGACUUCAAACAUGCGCAUGAGCAGGUACGUUGUGACCUAAUAAUACAAUACGGGGUUUUGGCUUCUUGUAGUAUUCUACCGUGGUCGGAAGUGUUCGGUUGCGUUCCGGAUCAUUGGCUGUCUAAUAUUGAAUUCAAUGCAGGUGUAUGCAAGUGUGUCUUCGGAGUCGACAAACAUGAGUGAGCUCCUCCAAUGGAAUGACCUAUACGGCGAAGGCAGAUCAAGAAAGAAGACGUCUCUCAGCUAUUUUAUAUAGUGUUUAAAUACGAAUUAUAAUAGAUUUUGCAUGGAAAAAUAUAUUUUGAAGGCCAUGAAUAUGAUAGUUUGUUGUAGUGGUAAGAGAAAUAAAAAAAAAUAUACAAAAAUGAUUGAAAUGCUUGAGGUGGCAGAAAGUCACUUCAAAAUAUAUUUUUCCGUGCGUGGAGCUCGACUCGUUUUCUGAGCACCCGAGAGUUCACCUCAUUUUGCAUGCACAGAGCCCGCCUCAUCUUGUGUCUGGAUUUGCCUUGUCCUGCAUGUGAGGUGUCCGCAUCGUUUUGCAUAUCAAAUGCUCGUCCCUUUUUUUGUCCACGGAGCAUGCGCCGUUUUGACUUGCACGAAGCUAGCCUCGUUUUUCAUGCGCAGGGCUGGCCUAGAUUUGUGCGACGUAUCCCUCCUCGUUUCUCAUGCGCAGAGCUCAAGUCGUUUUGCAUGCCGGGAAGCCCACCAAGUUUUCUUGAGCGCAACCCCCCUUGUCUUGUGUACCAAGAUUCAUCUCGUUCUGCGUGAGCUGAGUCCGCAUCGUUUUGUGUGCGUCGAUCCUGCCUAACCCCAUGCUUUUUGACAAAAAUGCAAAUUUUUUAUUUUCACAAAAUAUUUUUCCUAAGCAUUAAGUUAAAGUUUUUAAGGAAUUUGGAAGCAGUUUUAGGGCUUAGUGAGCGACAAAUGUAUAUUUAGUAGAAUAUUUGAGCCGAGAACUAAAAAAAUAAGCAAAAAACAUAGUAGUGAGUCCUAGAACAUUGUCAAAUGGGGUUAGACACUCAAGAAUCUCAACGGAAAGCCUCGUCUUAAUUUCCAAAACUUCACAGUGAGGCGAAGGUGAAAAUAAAUAGAUUGAACGGGGAUUUAUGUACGAAUUUGCCAAACCGACUGAAAACAGUGAGUGUUAAUCCACGUUUUCCAAAUAUUUUAUGUGAGCAUUAAAUAAAUCUUUAUAAUGUAUUUGGAAGCGGAUUUACUAUUUAUCGAGCAACAAGUGUAUAUUUAGUAAAAUAUUUAAGCCGAAAAGUAAAAAAAAAAAAAAGUGAACAAAUUAGACAAAAAAUAGUAAAAUUUUGUUUUGUUAAAUAGUCUUUUACUGACAAAGAGGGUUCUAUUAAUAUGUUGACACACCCCGACCUAGAUCGAAGCAUGCUGGCCGUCAUGUGGGAGUGACGUAACCAUGUGCACAGUGCGGAAGCAAUAAAGAUAUUAGGGAAAUGCGAAAGAAUAAAAACCAAACUACUAGCAGUACUAGCUAAGAUAGAGUGCUAGUGCGAGAUUAAAUGUGAAAUACACAACUAGAGCAUAAUAUCCUAGAUGCAGUCAAGUAGGACAAGUACUAAUUGUACAACACCUAAGGGUGAUCCUACAUUUAUGAUGUUUUGUCAGAACCCUUGUCAAAAUCCUCGUGAUCCAGCAAAGCACUUAUACCUAAAACCUGGAGGGGCGCAAAACAAAAAGUGUGAGUGGGCAAAAACAAAGCUUUUCAAAAUCAUUUCAUUUCUCAAAAGUUCUAACCCCUUGCCGUAAAACCUGUAUAAUUUUCCCAGAAAAAUAUAAUAUAUGCUAUAUCAGAAUUCAUGCUCAGGAUGAAAAUCCAUAGAAAUAUAUCAUGCCAAAGUAUCUCAAUGAAAUGCCAUAAGUAAUCUAGUUAAAUAUAUCAGUGCCAGAUAUCAUAACAACUGGAUCUACCUAACUUGACCUGUACGGCUGAGUACAUAGCUCAUAACCAAUCUCAAUCAUAUCAAAUCAAAUCCUGCACACGAGUUGGAACCACCUAAAGUGGUCUGUACGAUAGGAUUAGGUGUAAUAUAAAUAUGCUCUAGUGCUACGAUCACGUGAAGACUGUGCGAAUAAUCGCCGGUCACUUACGAGUCGGAACCACCCAAAGUGGUAUGUACGACAAGCUUGUGCACCUAACUUGGAUCCAAGGUGAGCAUAUGGUGCGGGAGGUGAACAUCACGUGAAUGACUGUGCCCUAACCUUGGACGGGAGCACUAACACCAGGGUGCAAGUUUAUGAGCUCUCAAUACAUCACAUCAUAUCUCACAUAACUGAAGCAAUCACAUAUCUUUAAUUUAUGAACUUACCUGGCACUUACCUGUGCGUCCACAACACUAAUCAUGAAUAUAUGCAACUACUAAUGCAUAAUUAAAAUAGGCAAAUACUUGCAUGGCAUUUCCAAAACGUAAUUUCAUUUAAACACAUUUUCUGGGAAAAAUCUCAAGUAUAUAGGUAUAUACGGAAAACCAAAAGCCCACUCACUGAUAUGUCAAAGGGUAUUAGCCCCCGAGCCUCGAUUGAUGGUGCUCGUCCUCAGGAUAGGUCUCACCUAUAUGCGAAAUAACUUAAUAAAAGUUAUUUAAAGCACAUACAAAAAACUAGGAAAUAACUUCUCAUACAAUGCUCAAAUGGGGUUUUUGAAUAUACCAACGUGAUCUACUCAACACCACGAAUAUCCCCAUAUUUUUAGAAAAAAUUUCCGACCACUCACGUUCCCGCCAAGGCAUGGCUCAACGCGCCUCCAUGUGCGGCCAAACCCUAACCGAAACUUAACUGCCGUUAGGAAUAUUUCGUUAAAACCUUAACAUAAAUUAACGGCGUUACCAGACGCCGUUAGAAUAUUUCGUCAAACUUGACAGAAUAUUCCCUUCUCCUUCCUUGGUUCGCCGGAGUUCGGCACCGGUCGCCGCUGCACUCGCCGAUUUCUAGAAAAAUUUCAAAUCUUCAUAUCUCUUUUGAUUCUCAACCAAAAUUCACAAAAUUUAUACCAAAUUGAAGCUUAGGAUGAGAGGAACAAAACCUUACCACUUUGGGGACCUAAGACCAACGGAAUCUCGCUAGAGAAACCUCGAUAAUCCGACCAAAAAUUGAAACUCGCGAACUGGGACUUCCAAACAUCCAAAACACUCCAACUUUCUUUCCCAAGCUUCGUGAAGAUGUUUUAAGGCUUCCUAUAACCUUAAAACUCCUUGAAAACUUCGAAAUCAUGAGUGCAUGAACAGUAACCCAAAACUGGGUUCUCGGGAAAAUGAGGCCUUCACAUCCAAAUAAUAGUAUCAAUGGAUUCCUGGGCUCUCAAGGAACUUGAAUAUGGUCUCCAAAGGUUCGAUCUGAGGAUGAAAGUGAAGGUUCAAGGUUUGUCCGUACAAUUGUACGGAAAUGGAAGAAAAUGCGAGAGGGAGGAGAGAGAGUCAACAGGAUAGGGUGAGGGUAUGUGUGUGUGGUCCAGAUUGGUCCCCAACCAAAGACAAAUAAACUUAAAAAAAUCUAAUUGGGUCCAAUCUAUUAGGAAAUGAACUUAAUUGGUCCAAAAACUUAGCUUAAAUCACAACCACAACCCAACGCUCAAUGGCAUUUUAGACUUUUCACACCGCCGAUAAAAAAUAUUUCGGGACGGGCUGUGACAUAUGUAGUUUAGAUUUUGAUAAAAGAAAAAAUUAACAAAAAGAAAAAUCAAGUUCAAAUAUCGUUAAAUUAAGGUCUUAAAUUGUUGAUUACAAGUGUUUAAAUACGAAUUAUAAUAGAUUUUAAACGGAAAAAUAUCUUUUGAAGGGCAUGAAUAUGAUAGUUUGUUGUAGUGGUAAGAGAAAUAAAAGAAAAUGUAGAAAAAUGGUUGAAAUUCUCGGGGGGUGGCAGAAAGUCACACCUGACUUUGUGGCUCGUGACUUUCUGGCACCCAGGAAUUUCAAUCAUGUUUGUUAAUUUUUCUUUCAGUUAUCUUACCACUACGACAAACUAUCACAUUCAUGUUCUUCAAUAUAUAUUUUGCCAUGCGUGGAGUCCGACUCGUUUUCUGAGCACCCAGGAGUUCGCCUCGUUCUAAAUGCGCAGAGCCCGCAUAGUCUUGUGUUCUAGGUUCACCUUGUUCUGCAUGUGAUGAGGUGUCCGCAUCGUUUUAUGUGCCAGAAGCCCAUCCCUUUUUUUGUCCAUGGAGCCUGCGUCGUUUUGACGUGCGCAGAGCCAGCCUCGUUUUCCGUGCGCAAGGCUGGCCUAGAUUUGUGUGACGUAUCCCUUCUCAUUUCUCAUGCGCGAAGCUCGCCUUGUUUUGCGUGCUGGAAGCCCGUCCUGUUUUCUUGAGCCUAGCCCUCCUUGUUUUGUGUAUCAAGAUUCGCCUCGUUUUGCAUGAGUAGAGUCUGCCUCAUUUUGCUUGCGUCGAUCCCGCCUAAAACCCUACUUUUUGACAAAAAUGCAAAACUUCACAAUGGGGCAACUUAAUUUCUAAAACUUCACAGAGGGGUUACUUAUCAACUAAGUCUAAGACCACUAUUCCGAAUGUUUAGCGGUUCUUCUAGUGCCAAUUUUGACUUGACUGGCAGCAUUUCUAAGAUACUUGACGAGCAAAGGGAAAUCAGAGAACUUCUUCACAAUUUUGAUACUCCAAUGUCGAUAUCAACUAGACGACAACGUCGACAAGCAUUUAAAGAAAAACUGCAACAAGGAAUUCUACGUCAUGAUGAUAUUGAUGUCUCAUUCGAAAGUUUUCCAUAUUACCUAAGGUGCAGCAAUUUGCCUUUUUUAUUAUUAUUGUGGAUCAGAUCAUCAUAUGAUACUGAACUAGCUUCCCUUAUUGUGAUUGGUCCAUAUGUAGUUGGACUCUUAUUGGUAAAUUCUGCGCUCAGACCUUUCCUCAUUUUGCAUUUUUACAGUGAAACAACAAAGAAGGUUUUGAUUGCAUCCACCCACCCGAAUUUGAGGUGUAGCAAGUUUGGAAAAUAUUUUUCAUCACUACCUACCGGGAGCCCGCGCAUAUUAUUAUCUGGUCCAGCAGGU